GAUCCAUUUUCUUGAUUUUGGGUCAUUUGCGGAAAUAGUCAUUUAAUGCUUCUUUUUAAAAAUCAUAAUCACAAAUUAAGUGAGUGUUUGGCCCCAAGUAGUUUUUGGAAAAAACUUGAAAAAUAUUAAGGAACUAGUGUUUGUCCAUACAAUUUGUCAUUACUUGACAAAUAUAUUUGGCAAAAUCCCCAAGUUCCCAAAUUCUAAAAAAACUAGAACUUGGAAGUUUUAAAAAUUUAAAAAUAUCCCCAAGCUUUUAUAUUUUAUAAAAACACUAAUUAUUUAUUAAUUUCAACUAAACAUUUAUCUACCAACUUACUCCAUUAAUAUGAUCAACUAAUACCAUUAAUCCCUCUUAAAUAAAAUUUGUCUAUAAAAAUGUUAACUGACCCUCUUUAAUUAAAGUUCUCUCAAUGAGCCAACAUAUGUUUCUUAAACAAAUAUGAAUGGUGUACAUCUAAAGAUUUCGACACAGCAACUAUUUUGGGCCUUGGUUUAAGGACUGCAUUGGUGCAAUUGAUGAAACAUAUAUUAAAGGAGAGGUCCCAAGAAAUAGGCAACAGGUAGGUUGGGAGGGUACUGCCCGUGAUAGUAAAGUGCUUGAGAAUGCAAUUCUUGUCUAAUCGGCUAACUUUUCCUUUCCACCACAUGAAAAAUAUUACGUGACUAUAUAAAGGAGUGCGAUAUCAUUUGCAAGACUACAGAGGAAGUAGAGCCUAAGAAUGGCAAGAGCUAUUUAACUAUAGACAUGUCUCUUUGCAUAAUGUAAUUGAAAGAACAUUUGGUGUGAGGAAAAGUAAAUUCAGAGUACCACGACAAGACAUGAACAAUUAUGACUUAGACAUAUAGGUGAAAAUAGUAAUUGCUUGUGCCGUCAGGGGCGGACC